UCAAGAUACUGGAGUAGUUUGCCAUUUCCUUCUCCAGCUCAUUUUACAUCUGAGACAAACAGGAUUAAGUGACUUGCCCAGGGCUACACAGUUAGUAAGUAUCUGAGGCCAGAUUUGAACACAAGAUGAGCCUUCUUGACUCCAGGCCUGGCCCUCUAGCCACUUGCUACCUAGCUGCCCCUUAAGAAAACCCUACCUGUUGGUAACAACAGGUUUUCCUUCAGGCAAAGUCUUGAGUGGAAACCACUAUCACUUUCUCUAAAGGAAAAAAAAAUUGUUCUGAGGAUAUUUUUACCUAUUAAUAGGUACAUGGUUCUCUCAAAGAGCAAUAACUCUUUUAGACAGUAACAGCCUUGCUGUUAUAGGUUUACAGCAAUUGCCUGGAUUUUCCCAGGAGUGAUCACUCCCUAGGAAGCAUCAUGGUAUACUCCAGAUCAGAGGUGUCUCGUCUUGAGGUUUUGGGCAUGUUUGGUCGCAGUAGUAAAACCUUGAAUAGGAUACAAAAAGUCUUCUUGAUCUCCAGGAAAAAAAAAUGCCAAAAGAAAAGAAGAAUCCAAGAUACCCAAAGGAAUACUCCUAGUAAUGAAAUUGUCCAUGGCACAAGUUUGGUUACUACAGCAAUAGUCACAUGGUAUGUGGCCAACAUGUAAGACACUUAAGAAAGGCCAUUUUUCUUGUGUCUCUGGAAAGAUUGCGUGGCUCAAAAUGCAGAGGUUUUGAACAAGAUUAUGCAAAUUAAAAAAAAAAAAACCCUUCACUUAGGGCUCUCCAAAAGGAAGAAAGGUGAAUUCUGAUAAAAGUAUAAGAGACUGAUGAUGAAAAAUGUUUUAUUUUUUGUCUCAUAGAUAAAUAUUUGCCAUUUAUUGAAAUGCAAAUGCUAUUUUGUUAGCAAGUUCAGGUCCAAAUGGAAUAAUGAAUUACAUGAAAUGCUUAGAUGUAUUUAAAUUUGUCCUAUUAGAUAUAUUAUUUAAGAUACAGUAGUUGGUUCCAACACAAUGGAAUCAUGCCGUAUGAAUUCUAAUAAAACGACCACUUCAUUUGCA
rnacentral:lncRNA from 1 species